CGUGCUCUCUCUCUCAUUCUCUCCCUCUCAAAUAAAUAAAUAAAUUAUAAAAAAAAAAAAAGAAUUAUGAAAACAUUUAAUCUAAAUCAGAAUUUCUCAACCUUAUUUUCAUUACUUUCCCUGCAAGGAGCUUUUUUAGGUUUCAUUUUUCCUAAUCAACCUCCCAGUGAAAUUUUAAUACCACAGAUGUACUGCAUAAUUACCUAUGUACUGUGUGUCUGCGCUUUCUUAAAUAAAAAGUGCACGAUUCUUCCCGACCAACUUUUGCUCUCUUGUGAACAAUAUUAUCUCCCUGAGAAGGCACGAUGUAAAUUAAUUAUUCUAUCGGUACUGUCUUUUUGGUUGAGGUUCUAUAAUACCCUACUUGCUACUAUGAUUAACAGUUCAGUGUUUACUCCAACCUUUGAAAUAACAAGAAGUUGAUCAGGUUUCUCUCCAAAUCGACAGAGAAAGGAAAGGUGGUGUGGGGGGGACCCUGCUGAAUGAGAUGACAGUGCAGACGAGAAACCCAAAAUUCAGACACAUGAAGGGACCUUCCAGGACCCUCCACCAGGGUGCGGCUACACUGGGACCACAGUCCUGUCUCCCAAGGCUGCGGCUCUUCCCGAAGUACCAGAAGGCUGUGUCAUCAGGUAGAAUCACACUGGAUGGCUGCUAUAAGACUUCCACAUUGUUCCCUGUGCUGGAAUUGUGGUGAAAAGAAACACUGUAACAGAAAACAACCGUUUCCACUUUCAGGACGAGGAAAUUACACAGAAGUGAUGUUCGGUCUUUGUGUGGUGAACGACUACAGAACAGGACCCAUGAGCAUCUGUGGUCUUGAAGCAGAUGACCAGCCUCUGACAUAUGGUCACAAGGUCAACAGCAGCCUAAGGCUACGUCACAUGCCUCCGUCAUUCACCUCACUUCAUCUCAUCACGUAGGCACUGUAUCCUCUGUCAUCACAAGACAAAGUAUGGCGAGUAUAGUAUGGGGGACAAUACAGAGAUUCAACAAUUCUAUACUUGACUCAGUGCUCUUCGUGACUUUUCUUCUGGAAGAAGAAACGUAGUUACCUUGAUAUAUAAAAAACAAGGCACUCUCUGUUUAGGGGGAGAAACGAGAAAUGUGAUACCUGGGCUGGAGUGUUUGUAGUCACAGGAGACGGAGAUUCGC